UUCUAGCCUAAGCUGGUAUGUGUACAUAAAGUGGGCCCAUUACAGGUUUGGGCUUCGAGAAUUUAGUUUGUCUCUCGAUCGGCCCACAUUAGCUGCUGCGUAAGUCACACUGUUGUAUCAAAGAAGUUCUAAACCGCCGGAGUCCGACAACGCCAUCCGAUGGCGACAUCGACGACGGCAACGGAAGCAAUGAGGACGAAACCAAUAGCAGUUUUUAUGGCUUUUGGAACUAAAGGCGAUGUUUACCCCAUAGCUGCAAUAGCUGCAGCUUUUGCUUCCGAUCAGCGGCAGUAUGAAGUUGCAUUUGUAACUCAUUCCGCACACGAGAACCUAAAAGGUCAUUUAGGUGCAAAAGGAGUUGCAUACUAUCCAGUUUGUUCGCCACCCGUUUUGUCUUCUCAGCAACACGAUGAUACUGGAGGGUCGUCAUUUUCUCUGCAGAAGAAAGAAAUCACAAGAAAACAUAGACAAGAGUGUCUUUCAAUUGUUGAAGCAAUAUAUGGAGGGGGCCCAAUCUUGGAUGGUGAUCUUAUCAUCAUAAAUUUCUUUGCACUGGAAGGUUGGAUUCUUGCGGAACUUUUUCAUGUUAAUUGUGUUGUUGCUGCUCCUUAUCUCGUUCCAUACAGCGCACCCUCUUCAUUUGAACGCCAAUUUAGGAAUGAACUUCCUCUUCUAUACAAAUAUCUUCGAGAAGCUCCAACUGGUAAGAUUGGGUGGGAAGAUGUUAUCCAUUGGAUGUGGCCACUUUUCACUGAUGACUGGGGAACGUGGAGAAGCUAUGAUCUAGAGUUGAGCUUCUGGCCCUUUACGGAUCCAGUAACUGGUCUUCCAACAUGGCACGAGAGGCCUUCAGCUCCACUCCUACUGUACGGCUUUAGCCAAGAAGUUGUUGAGUGCCCUGGUUACUGGCCAUCAGCAGUUCGUGUUUGUGGUUUUUGGUCUUUCCCUUCUGAAUGGCAAUUCUCUUGCACUGGAUGUGCAGAAAUAUCAUCUUUGAUUUGUUCGGGGAAAUUGAAUGCUGAAGAUGAGCUAUGUUUGGUUCAUGCCAAGUUAAAAGAAUUUCUGGGUUCUUCAGAAGAGCAACCUAUUUUCAUAAGUCUGAGUUCUGUUGGAAGCAUGGGUUACUUGAAGAAUCCCCAGUCUUUCCUUCGGGUCCUUGGGAAUGUUUUGAGUAUCACAAGUCACAGAUUUAUUCUUCUGACAGCUGGAUAUGGACCUUUAGAUGCUGCUAUCAAGAUGUUUGCACAGACACCAUCAUCAACUUCCGAACAAACGCAACCUGGUGAAGUUCAGAGUUGGCUAUUUGAUGGCCGACUUUUUUGCUUUUCCGGUGCUAUACCAUACAACUGGCUAUUCCCAAGAUGUGCGGCUGCUAUCCAUCAUGGGGGAAGUGGAUCUACUGCCGCUGCUCUGCACGCAGGAAUUCCUCAGGUUAUCUGCCCGUUUAUUCUGGAUCAAUUUUAUUGGGCAGAGAGGAUGUUUUGGCUAGGUGUUGCCUCAGAGCCCCUAAAAAGUUCUUCCUUACUCCCAGAUAAAGGUGAUGAGAGUUGUAUAUUAGAAGCUGCAAAUAUGCUCGUGGGAGCAAUUAAUUAUGCAUUGUCUCCCGAAGUCAAAUUGCAUGCAAAACAAAUUGCUAAGAGAAUAUCCACCGAGGACGGGGUUUCAACAGCUUUGCGGAUAAUUAAAGAAGAAAUUCUCCAUAUAGAUGCUACUAACUGAUGCAACCUAUUCUUUUACAGCUCAGUUUCUUCAGGUUGGCCUAUCGACAUGGAAGACUUUCUUAUCGAUAAAAGAAGUGAUAUCUUCAAACGAAAUUUGCUAGUUGCCCUUGUGACUAACGUUUCUUGAAGAGUCCACUGAACUAUUUCUCCAAAAUGAGCUGUCUUGUUUUCAACUAAGGUAGCAUUUGACUAGGAAAACGAAGCCAGAAUCUGUUACCUGUUUCUCUUCCAUUAAUUUUGUAUUAGGUGUGUAGUAAUUCCAAAUGGAGGACUAGAAAAUGAAGAGGACCGCAGUUUUUUGCAGUAUUUUUGACGACUUUCGACCAUUUUACUUUGUGUGAAAUGGAGUCUUUUAAGUCAUCGACUUAUGUUGGUUGUUGACACAGUUGGUAUGCUGGUGGAGCCACUGCCAACUAACACCAUUAACAUGACUUGUUCUUCAGUGGACA